UACGGGGGGGGGCAAGCGUUGUUCGGAAUUACUGGGCGUAAAGGGCGCGUAGGCGGCCUGCUAAGUCGGAUGUGAAAUCCCUCGGCUCAACCGAGGAACUGCAUCCGAUACUGGCGGGCUUGAAUCCGGGAGAGGGAUGUGGAAUUCCAGGUGUAGCGGUGAAAUGCGUAGAUAUCUGGAGGAACACCGGUGGCGAAGGCGGCAUCCUGGACCGGUAUUGACGCUGAGGCGCGAAAGCUAGGGGAGCAAACGG
rnacentral:rRNA from 1 species